GAAAUGCGAUAAUUAAUGUGAAUUGCAGAAUUCAGUGAAUCAUCGAGUAUUUGAACGCACAUUGCGCCCCCUGGUAUUCCGGGGGGCAUGCCUGUCCGAGCGUCAUUGCUGCCCUCAAGCACGGCUUGUGUGUUGGGCUUCCGUCCCUGGCAACGGGGACGGGCCCAAAAGGCAGUGGCGGCACCAUGUCUGGUCCUCGAGCGUAUGGGGCUUUGUCACCCGCUCCCGUAGGUCCAGCUGGCAGCUAGCCUCGCAACCAAUCUUUUUAACCAGGUUGACCUCGGCUCAGGUAGGGAUACCCGCUGAACUUAAGC
rnacentral:misc_RNA from 1 species